rnacentral:lncRNA from 1 species
AAAUAAGAAGUUUCACACAUCAGAGUGGAAACAGAAAGUUAACUGCUUGUAAUUAGGAUAAUUUACCUCUGGUUCUUGGAAGAUAAAUACCUUUUCCCUUACUAAGUUUUACACUGAAUUUAGCAAUACUAUAAAACAUAUUGAGGGAAAUCUGUAUCUAAAACACCCACUGCCAGUGCAGUUGCCAAGAAUUGUUUCUUGCAGACUAGUACUAGUGAAUGCUGCCUGAAGAUUGGAACCUUUGCCCAGCACUGCUAUCCUGAGAUGAGCCAGCCAGGAAAUGGAAGAGUUGAUUUUGUUCAAACAAGCAAGCAGGAAAUCAACCUUUUGCAGUUGUUUGGGGAUGUGAAAUGCACUUUCAAGCCUCUCAUUUUUCAGAAGAGGAGCUAAAUGGUAGAAUAGAUACAUUAAGACUUCAGGAUUUUUACAUAGAAGUAGAGAGAGCCUUCAGCGAGGAAAGGAAAAUCAGAUGAUUUUGGAAAAUAUGGACAAUUUUCAACUGACUAGAAGCCCGGGGUCUCUGAAGUUCUGAAUCUGAAAUAGUAUAACAUUUUUGUGAAAAAAUAACUUGC